UACAGGGGGGGCAAGCGUUGUUCGGAAUUACUGGGCGUAAAGGGCUCGUAGGUGGCCAACUAAGUCAGACGUGAAAUCCCUCAGCUUAACUGGGAACUGCGUCUGAUACUGGAUGGCUUGAGUUUGGGAGAGGGAUGCGGAAUUCCAGGUGUAGCGGUGAAAUGCGUAGAUAUCUGGAGGAACACCGGUGGCGAAGGCGGCAUCCUGGACCAACACUGACGCUGAGUGAGCGAAAGCCAGGGGAGCAAACGGG
rnacentral:rRNA from 1 species